rnacentral:ncRNA from 1 species
AUCAUCAGUAGCGGUUAUACUAUACUAUAUAUAAUAUAACUUUACUAUACAUAAAGACUACAACAAGUUUUAUUGGUAAUAUAUCAUAGAUGUGUAUUGCUUAAAGCUUGUUCCAUUUAUUAACCCAAUAGCUAAGUAUUUUGAUUGACCUUGCUAACAACUUGGCCACAGUCAAUACUUCGUUUCGGUCUUUUAGAUUAAUAACGGCAUUU